GUGGACUGCGGUACAGCCCAUGACCGCGAUGUAAACGCGGCACGGAACAUUCUUGCGGCGGGGCAUCGCCGUCUAGCUGUAGGAAUCCCCGUCCUUUAGGGCGGGGAGGAUGUCAACCUUUCAUGCCUUC
rnacentral:sRNA from 1 species